rnacentral:rRNA from 1 species
CCUACGGGAGGCAGCAGUGGGGAAUCUUGCACAAUGGGCGAAAGCCUGAUGCAGCGAUGCCGCGUGCGGGAAGAAGGCCCUAGGGUUGUAAACCGCUUUCAGGAGGGAAGAAAAUGACGGUACCUCCAGAAGAAGGUGCGGCCAACUACGUGCCAGCAGCCGCGGUGACACGUAGGCACCAAGCGUUAUCCGGAUUUAUUGGGCGUAAAGAGCUCGUAGGCGGUUUGGUAAGUCGGGUGUGAAAACUCUGGGCUCAACCCAGAGAGGCCACUCGAUACUGCUAUGACUAGAGUACGGUAGGGGAGCGGGGAAUUCCUGGUGUAGCGGUGAAAUGCGCAGAUAUCAGGAGGAACACCAGCGGCGAAGGCGCCGCUCUGGGCCGUAACUGACGCUGAGGAGCGAAAGCAUGGGUAGCAAACAGGAUUAGAUACCCUGGUAGUCCAUGCCGUAAACGUUGGGCACUAGGUGUGGGUCUCAACCAACGAGAUCCGCGCCGUCGCUAACGCAUUAAGUGCCCCGCCUGGGGAGUACGGUCGCAAGACUAAAACUCAAAGGAAUUGACGG